rnacentral:lncRNA from 1 species
UUUAUACAACUUCCUAACAUGAAUCGACCUGAUGGAUCCGAUACACUUGGGACGCCUUCUUUGGGGUGUCAACUGCUCGAGUUAAUGGGUCCUUUAAGCCGGUCGGCCAAAUGUUCGUAGGGCUUAUGGGGCCGCCCGGACCAUUCAAACAGUUUAACGUCCUUGGAAUGACCUGGGCUUUCCACUGUUCGUCUUACUGGGCCUGGGCUUCUUCGUGGGCCUGGGCUGGUAACUUGGGGGUACCAUCA